rnacentral:rRNA from 1 species
GAUGAACGCUGGCGGCGUGCUUAACACAUGCAAGUCGAACGAGAAGUGAAGACGGAACCCUUCGGGCGGAAGGCUUUAUUUCGAGUGGCGGACGGGUGAGUAACGCGUGGGUAACCUGCCUCAUACAGGGGGAUAACAGUUGGAAACGACUGUUAAUACCGCAUAAGACCACAGCACCGCAUGGUGCGGGGGUAAAAACUCCGGUGGUAUGAGAUGGACCCGCGUUCGAUUAGCCAGUUGGCGGGGUAACGGCCCACCAAAGCGACGAUCGAUAGCCGAUCUGAGAGGAUGACCGGCCACAUUGGGACUGAGACACGGCCCAAACUCCUACGGGAAGCAGCAGUGGGGAAUAUUGCACAAUGGGGGAAACCCUGAUGCAGCGACGCCGCGUGAGUGAAGAAGUAUUUCGGUAUGUAAAGCUCUAUCAGCAGGGAAGAAAAUGACGGUACCUGAGUAAGAAGCCCCGGCUAACUACGUG